GGGAGCUGCGCAUGCGCGGGGGAUGAAGGCAAGCUGACUGGGGGAAGCUGCGCAUGCGUGAAGGAUAGGCGCGGGAAGGAGGCACUUUUUUCCCCUCUGAGGGAGAGAUGAACGCGCUGAAGGACGCUCUGCACAUGCUCAAGGGAAAGCCUCGGCGAGGAGAUUUUGUAGGCUUCGACUCCCUUCGCCACGCUCAUCCCUUGCAGAUGUACAGAAGAUGCUGGGGCAGAACUCUUGAACUGCUUUCACACAAGGAAACAUCUUGGCUCUGCAUUCUACACGGAGGAAUCUAAUCCAAAAUUAUGCAAAGCUUCCAAAGUAGAUGGCGAGUUGCUGUCGUGAGAUUACCCUACUUAAAACAUACGAUACUGAAUGGAGGAGCCGCAUGGCUAUUUAUAACAUGGGCAUUGUUGUAAGAAUUGAGCGGGGUCUGUGGCUGCGCUCUUGACAGCACUGCUUCCCGUAGAAGAGAAAGUGCCUUCUUUGUCAUUCCAGCACAUUACGGCUGCGGGUUUCAAAUCAGGGAACAUCUCCAGAGGCAGGCUGACGGUUGGACUGGAAGCAUCUCUGUUGUGCAGCAUUGCGCAUGGUGAACCGGUCCCUGUUUCCAUGGUGAUGGCAUCUCGCUCAGUGGAUGUGCAACCCACCCGUUUUCAAAAACACGGCCCCAACAGGCAGCCCUUCUAUUACAUGGAAGGAAGGAAAGAAAACCUGGUCAUUAAAUACAAACCUGAUCAUUAAAACAUCACCUCCCUCUGUAUUAAAUCCAUUGCAAUACAUCAGAGGGAGGGAAAAAAAUAAUAGGUAUGUGUUUCCCCAUUUUAUUUCCUGACCAUUCUCAACAGAAGCUACUCCAAAUUUCUGCUUGUUGCUUAUCUUGUCCUCACAAAAUUAUUAUUAUUAUUAUUAUUAUUAAACUGUAUUUGUACCCCGCUAGCAUCUCCCGAAGGACUCGAUGCGGCUUACAAAGGCCAAGGCCUCAACACACAAUAUAACAAUACAAAACAAAGGCAAAUUAAAAGAAUUAAAACAGUAUAAACCACAAGCAAUAACAAUACGCUAAAACACAAUAGAACUGGGCCGGGCCAGAGUAAUGGGUACAAGAUUAAAAGUGCUGAUGUUAACUUUUGUUUUAUUACCUUAUUGUGUUUUAACCUUUGUACAUUGUGCUAAUGUAUUUGUGUUGUUACUUUUGUAACAACAUGAGCUGCCCCGAGUCCCCGCAGGGAGAUGUUGGCGGGGUAUAAAUAAAGUUUAUUAUUAUUAUUAUUACUUUCCUGUAGAAAAACUCACCUCUACCGUAACUAUCUCAGAAAUCCAUGCAGGAUUUUGCCACAGAUACAGCAAAGGCUUGCUGCCAGCCGUGGCUUGUCUAGGUUUACGCAGCAGGAAGUAUUGGUAGCAAAUGCAAUUUUCCUGUAGCCAGGUUACAUGUGCAAGAAAAUUGCUUGUUUCAAGCACCUUUAUAUGAGAUCUCCCGAAGGAAACAUGAAGCCAAAAAAAGUGUUGUAUUUGCCUGCAAGGAUUCAUUUGUUUGUAACGCCUCAAUGUUGACUCCCUGCUUAAAUAGGGAUCUGUGAGGAUCCACUAAGUGUUGCCUAGGUUCCACAAACUGUUCUAUGUAUUUUAUAAAAAAAUACAUUUUAAUAUUUAUAGACAUGCAUUUUAAUGUGUGUAUUUAUAGAAUAUUUUCAAUGUUUAUGUUUUCAUUAUGCUGUAACCCACCUUGUGGUGAGGUGGGUAAGAAAUAAAAUAUUAUCAGGCAUUUUCAA